UGGCUGCACUCAGACCCUGCAUGAAGCACAAAAUCGUCAAAAAGAGAGGACCAAGAAGUCCAUCUGGCGCCAGUUAGACGAUAUGUCAAAAAUAAGCAUAACUGGUGAAAACCCAGAAGUAUUGACAACAGGGUUUGUAGAAGGUUCAAGGGCUGGAUCUAGAUGCCCUACAUAUGGGAGCAACAAAAAACAAAACACAUGCUGCCCAGUAGCUUCCAGAAUUUCCUGGUCCACAAAGUCAAGGAGCUGGAAAUGCAGCUGAUGUGCAACAAAUCUUACUCUGCUGAGAUUGCUUACAAUGUUUCCUCCAAGAACCACAAAGCCAUCACAGAAAGAGCAGCCCAGAGCACAGCUGGCCAUCAGAGCCACCAAUCCCAAUGCCAGGCUGUGCAGAGAA
rnacentral:lncRNA from 1 species